rnacentral:rRNA from 1 species
UACGGAGGGGGCUAGCGUUGUUCGGAAUUACUGGGCGUAAAGCGCGCGUAGGCGGCUUUGCAAGUCGGGUGUGAAAUCCCCAGGCUUAACCUGGGAACUGCAUUCGAGACUGCAUUGCUAGAGUAUGGGAGAGGGAAGUGGAAUUUCCGGUGUAGCGGUGAAAUGCGUAGAUAUCGGAAGGAACAUCAGUGGCGAAAGCGACUUCCUGGACCAAUACUGACGCUCAUGUGCGAAAGCGUGGGGAGCAAGCAGG